AACGUAUGCGACUAGGGUUCCGGCUGCCUGUGCAGUGACUGGUCCGAGAGUCGCAAUCCGGUACCUCCUUUCAGGAAAGGGCUGGACACACGGCGGGAUAAAAGCCCGGGAGGU
rnacentral:sRNA from 21 species